GUGGGGAAUCUUCCGCAAUGGACGAAAGUCUGACGGAGCGACGCCGCGUGAGUGAAGAAGGCCUUCGGGUCGUAAAGCUCUGUCAUCAGGGACGAACGGCCGGUGGAGUGGAAAGCCACCGGAUUGACGGUACCUGAGAAGGAAGCCACGGCUAACUACGUGCCAGCAGCCGCGGUAAUACGUAGGUGGCAAGCGUUGUCCGGAAUUAUUGGGCGUAAAGCGCGCGCAGGUGGGAUCUUAAGUCCAUUUUGAAAGUUCGGAGCUCAACUCCGUGAUGGGAUGGAAACUGGGAUUCUUGAGUACCGGAGAGGAAAGCGGAAUUCCCCGUGUAGCGGUGAAAUGCGUAGAUAUGGGGAGGAACACCAGUGGCGAAGGCGGCUUUCUGGACGGUGUCUGACACUGAGGCGCGAAAGCCAGGGGAGCGAACGGGAUUAGAUACCCUUGUAGUCC
rnacentral:rRNA from 1 species